rnacentral:rRNA from 1 species
GGGUUGUGAGGUUAAGCGACUAAGCGUACACGGUGGAUGCCCUGGCAGUCAGAGGCGAUGAAGGACGUGCUAAUCUGCGAUAAGCGUCGGUAAGGUGAUAUGAACCGUUAUAACCGGCGAUUUCCGAAUGGGGAAACCCAGUGUGUUUCGACACACUAUCAUUAACUGAAUCCAUAGGUUAAUGAGGCGAACCGGGGGAACUGAAACAUCUAAGUACCCCGAGGAAAAGAAAUCAACCGAGAUUCCCCCAGUAGCGGCGAGCGAACGGGGAGCAGCCCAGAGCCUGAAUCAGUGUGUGUGUUAGUGGAAGCGUCUGGAAAGGCGCGCGAUACAGGGUGACAGCCCCGUACACAAAAAUGCACAUGCUGUGAGCUCGAUGAGUAGGGCGGGACACGUGGUAUCCUGUCUGAAUAUGGGGGGACCAUCCUCCAAGGCUAAAUACUCCUGACUGACCGAUAGUGAACCAGUACCGUGAGGGAAAGGCGAAAAGAACCCCGGCGAGGGGAGUGAAAAAGAACCUGAAACCGUGUACGUACAAGCAGUGGGAGCACGCUUAGGCGUGUGACUGCGUACCUUUUGUAUAAUGGGUCAGCGACUUAUAUUCUGUAGCAAGGUU